GUGGGGAAUAUUGCGCAAUGGGCGAAAGCCUGACGCAGCGACGCCGCGUGAGGGAUGAAGGUUUUCGGAUCGUAAACCUCUGUCAGAAGGGAAGAAACUACAUUGUGCUAAUCAGCAGUGUACUGACGGUACCUUCAAAGGAAGCACCGGCUAACUCCGUGCCAGCAGUCGCGGUAAUACGGAGGGUGCAAGCGUUAAUCGGAAUUACUGGGCGUAAAGCGCACGUAGGCUGUAGUGUAAGUCAGGGGUGAAAUCCCACGGCUCAACCGUGGAACUGCCUUUGAUACUGCACAACUUGAAUCCGGGAGAGGGUGGUGGAAUUCCAGGUGUAGGAGUGAAAUCCGUAGAUAUCUGGAGGAACAUCAGUGGCGAAGGCGGCCACCUGGACCGGUAUUGACGCUGAGGUGCGAAAGCGUGGGGAGCAAACAGGAUUAGAAACCCCUGUAGUCC
rnacentral:rRNA from 1 species